rnacentral:rRNA from 1 species
CCUACGUGAGGCAGCAGUGGGGAAUAUUGCGCAAUGGGCGAAAGCCUGACGCAGCGACGCCGCGUGAGGGAUGAAGGUCUUCGGAUCGUAAACCUCUGUCAGCAGGGAAGAACGGUCACUGUGCUAAUCAGCAGUGAAUUGACGGUACCUGCAAAGGAAGCACCGGCUAACUCCGUGCCAGCAGCCGCGGUAAUACGGAGGGUGCGAGCGUUAAUCGGAAUUACUGGGCGUAAAGCGCUCGUAGGCGGUAUGUCAAGUCAAGGGUGAAAUCCCCGCGCUCAACGGGGGAACUGCCUUUGAAACGGGCAAACUGGAGUGUGUGAGAGGAUAGUGGAAUUCCAGGUGUAGGAGUGAAAUCCGUAGAUAUCUGGAGGAACAUCAGUGGCGAAGGCGACUAUCUGGCACAUAACUGACGCUGAGGAGCGAAAGCGUGGGUAGCAAACAGGAUUAGAUACCCUUGUAGUC